GGUAGAAAAGGAGAAGUCCUAUGUGAUUUGUGAGAUUGAGUUCAGAAAGUCUUUGGCCAAAGCAAGUAUGAAUACUGGAAAAGAAUUUUCAUGAGAUUCAUAAAUGAACUCGAGUCGAGCCAAUCUUACAUAAGACUGACGAUGGGGUUUAAUGAGUUCUCCAUGACCUCCAUCAAGUCGGGACUCAUGAUAGAAUGACUAAAUUAUAUGAUAACUGCAUCUAGAGAUUC
rnacentral:lncRNA from 1 species